AGCGAACGCUGGCGGCAGGCCUAACACAUGCAAGUCGAACGAACCUUUCGGGGUUAGUGGCGGACGGGUGAGUAACACGUGGGAACGUGCCUUUAGGUUCGGAAUAACUCAGGGAAACUUGUGCUAAUACCGAAUGUGCCCUUCGGGGGAAAGAUCUAUCGCCUUUAGGGCGGCCCGCGUCUGAUUAGCUAGUUGGUUGAGGUAAUGGCUCACCAAGGCGACGAUCAGUAGCUGGUCUGAGAGGAUGAUCAGCCACAUUGGGACUGAGACACGGCCCAAACUCCUACGGGAGGCAGCAGUGGGGAAUCUUGCGCAAUGGGCGAAAGCCUGACGCAGCCAUGCCGCGUGAAUGAUGAAGGUCUUAGGAUUGUAAAAUUCUUUCACCGGGGACGAUAAUGACGGUACCCGGAGAAGAAGCCCCGGCUAACUUCGUG
rnacentral:rRNA from 1 species